UUUAUAGAAAUAAUUUUUUAUUAGUAUAUAUAAAGAAAAUAAAAAUUUUAUGAUAAAGAAUAAGUAUUGUAAAAGAAUUAAUUAAUUUAAUUAAAAAGAAAAUUUAAUUUAUUGUAUCUUGUGUAUCAGAGUUUAUUUAAAAUAUAUUAAAAAUUUAAUGAUCUCGAAUUAUUAAAAGUUAAAUUAAAUUUUCAUUAAUAUUAUAAAAUUAUGAGAAAAUUUUAUUUAGAAAUUAAAAGUUAAUCGUUUAAUAAUAUAUCUAGUUUUUUUAGAAAUUUAUUUAAUUAAGUUAAUUUUAAUUUUUAUAAAAAAUUUUGUUUAUAAAAAUUAAUAUUAAUAAAAUUUUUAGGGAUAAGCUUAAAAAUUAAAUUAUAUUUAAAUAAUAAUUUUUUUUAAUAUAUAAGAUUAAAAAUUUACUAAUAUUAUUUUUUUAUAAAUAAUUAAUUAUUUAUAUAAAUUUAUUAAUUAAAUUAAUUUUUUUAUAAAAAUAUUUAUAUUAAUAAAUUUUAUAAAGUAAUAAUGAUAAAAUUAGUAAAUAUUAUUUAAUUAAUAAAAUAAAUUUAUUAAUUAAAUUAAUGAAUUAGGCAAAAUUAUUUCUACCUGUUUAUUAAAAACAUGUCUGUUUGAAUAGAAUAAAUAGUCUAAUCUGCCCAUUGAUUAAUUAAAAGGCUGCAGUAUUUUAACUGUACAAAGGUAGCAUAAUAAUUAGUUUCUUAAUUAGAGACUUGAAUGAAAGAUUUGAUAAGAAAUAAGCUUUAUUAAUUUAAAAAAUUUAAUUUUUUGUUUAAG
rnacentral:rRNA from 1 species